UACGGAAGGCAGCAGUGGGGAAUAUUGCACAAUGGGCGAAAGCCUGAUGCAGCUAUGCCGCGUGUAUGAAGAAGGCCUUAGGGUUGUAAAGUACUUUCAUCGGGGAGGAAAAAACAAAACUAAUAAUUUUAUUUCUUGACGUUACCCGAAAAAGAAGCACCGGCUAACUCCGUGCCAGCAGCCGCGGUAAUACGGAGGGUGCUAGCGUUAAUCAGAAUUACUGGGCGUAAAGAGCACGUAGGUGGUUUUUUUAAGUCAGAUGUGAAAUCCCUGGGCUUAACCUAGGAACUGCAUUUUGAAACUGAAAUACUAGAGUAUCGUAGAGGGAGGUAGAAUUCUAAGUGUAGCGGUGAAAUGCGUAGAUAUCUGGAGGAAUACCUGUGGCGAAAGCGGCCUCCUAAACGAAUACUGACACUGAGGGUGCGAAAGCGUGGGGAGCGAAACAGGGAUUAGAUACC
rnacentral:rRNA from 1 species